rnacentral:tRNA from 1 species
GUCUCCGUGGUAUAACGGUAGCACACUCGGCGUGUAUUCGAGAGGUCCAGGUUCGAGUCCCGGUAAAGGCA